AGAGUUUGAUCCUGGCUCAGGACGAACGCUGGCGGCGUGCUUAACACAUGCAAGUCACGGGGGCCCGCAAGGGUAACCGGCGAACGGGUGCGUAACACGUGAGCAAUCUGCCGAUCUCAGGGGGAUAGCCGGCCCAACGGCCGGGUAAUACCGCAUACGCUCAUUGAGGGGAGUCCCUUAGUGAGGAAACCUCCGGGGGA
rnacentral:rRNA from 1 species